rnacentral:misc_RNA from 1 species
AGCGUGUAUUCACCAGCUUCAGGUCAG